rnacentral:rRNA from 1 species
UACGUAGGUGGCAAGCGUUAUCCGGAUUUACUGGGUGUAAAGGGCGUGUAGGCGGUUCUGCAAGUCGGGUGUGAAAUUUCCGGGCUUAACCCGGACGGGUCACCCGAAACUGCGGAACUUGAGUACUGGAGAGGAUAGUGGAAUUCCUAGUGUAGCGGUAAAAUGCGUAGAUAUUAGGAGGAACACCAGUGGCGAAGGCGGCUAUCUGGACAGUAACUGACGCUGAGGCGCGAAAGCGUGGGGAGCAAACAGGAUUAGAUACCCGCGUAGUCCCUGAGCGGGCUGG